rnacentral:rRNA from 1 species
CGUAGGGUGCAAGCGUUAAUCGGAAUUACUGGGCGUAAAGCGUGCGCAGGCGGCUUUGCAAGACAGAUGUGAAAUCCCCGGGCUUAACCUGGGAACUGCAUUUGUGACUGCAUGGCUGGAGUGCGGCAGAGGGGGAUGGAAUUCCGCGUGUAGCAGUGAAAUGCGUAGAUAUGCGGAGGAACACCGAUGGCGAAGGCAAUCCCCUGGGCCUGCACUGACGCUCAUGCACGAAAGCGUGGGGAGCAAACAGGAUUAGAUACCCUGGUAGUCCACGCCCUAAACGAUGUCAACUGGUUGUUGGACGGCUUGCUGUUCAGUAACGAAGCUAACGCGUGAAGUUGACCGCCUGGGGAUACGGCCGCAAGGUUG